rnacentral:tRNA from 2 species
GGGCUUGUAGCUCAGUUGGUUAGAGCAACAGACUCAUAAUCUGGAGGUCCCUGGUUCAAGCCCAGGCUGGCCCA